GCCGAAGGAUGCAAGCGUUAUCCGGAUUCAUUGGGGUUAAAGGGAGCGUAGGUGGCCUUAUAAGUCAGUGGUGAAAUCUCUCGGCUUAACCGAGAAAUUGCCAUUGAUACUGUAGGGCUUGAGUAUAGUUGCCGUUGGCGGAAUAUGACAUGUAGUGGUGAAAUACAUAGAGAUGUCAUAGAACACCGAUUGCGAAGGCAGCUGACGAAACUAUAACUGACACUGAGGCUCGAAAGUGCGGGGAUCAAACAGG
rnacentral:rRNA from 1 species